UGUGCGGGCGCCUCCUCGGGCCGCGGGUAUUUUUGGCGGCGGUCUGCGCCCAGCCCAGCGGCCCCGCCAGCUCCGGCUCCCCCGCGGCAGCGAUGCGAUCGGGCAUCACUCGAAAAUGGCGCCGAAAGCGCAGGGCUCUUCAUUCAAAUUCGUUAGAGCCAGCCCCGCUGCCCUGGGGCAUGCCGGGAAUGGGGGGGGAGCGAGGGGGAGAGCUGCUCGCGCUGAGGCAGCGCUACGGAGGCGCUGCUGUCAAUAGCACCCCUCCCCCUCCCCACUGGCGCGCGCUCCACCCCCUCCCCGCUAGCGCGCGCUCCCGCACUAGCAACCCAACCGCCACUCACGGGGGGGAGGAGAAGGGAGGGGGGAAUGUCACCCAGAGCCCCAGACCCUGGGGAGAGAGACAGUCAUUCACCAUCAGCCCUAUGGACUUGUCAAGGUCUGGGGAGAGGCUAAGUGGAAGUGGAAGAGAAGCAGGAAGUUACAGAGAAAGUGGUGAAGUGCAGUGCAUUCUAUAGGCCUGUUGCCUGUUAACUGCAGUCUUGGUGAAUAUCAAAAAAAGGUAAUCUGAACUGCACUUCUUUUAUUUUGCACCUUCAUGAAGGGACAUAUAAUUAGGGCCCUGUAUACUCUGCGGCACAGAAGGACCAAAUUCUAUGGAAACAAUCCUGAAGGCUCUGGAUGAAUGUAUUCCAUAAGUAUGGAAUACCUUUCAUUCUAAUCCCCCUGUCAUACUACAAACACACACAUGGGUGGCUCAUCACUGAAAACGCUAAUUGACGUAAAAUUAAUUGAUGAUUAUUUUUUUGCAAUUAUUUUUGAGAAUGGAUUUUUUUUGCUAGGGUUUUCAGAUGGCCCAGCUCCAAUCCUAGGCAUUGAUUCCCAUGAUAUUUUCUUAGCAGCCUGGUUUAGAACCACCUUCUUUCCAUCUCUGUCAGAGAAGAAGGGUUUGUGGCUGGCUUCAGUGUCUCAUUUACCUGGUUCCCUAGGCCUUGGCUGCUGUGCUGUUCUCUACUCUAACAAGCUCACCAAGCUAUACUUUUGGCUCUCUCCACUCUCUGAACUGCAAACUGGACUUCAGCUCUUAGACACACUCUGCUGCCUAGCUCCAUGGAACAGUGUAGGAAGCAUGCACAAUAAUCCACUUAAUCGCCUUUUUUAGGGAAAGAUGGAGAGCAAAAGGUAACUGAAAGCAGCAGGGCAAUGAGACGGACCACAAAAUUUUGGGUGGCUGUCUCCAGCAAUAGACCAAAUUCCAUGCCAUCUUGGUAAAAUGCCAAAGUCUGUGGGUGCAGAAUCAUAGAAUCCAAGGGGCCCUGACUGCAAGGAAUAGGGCACAUCACACCUCUCAGAGCUAUUGUUUCAGGUUCUUUGCAGAUUCAGGCAGGAAACAUUGCAUCAGUUUACAUUCAUUUGAUGUUUUGGAAGCUGUCUCUACAACCAUAACAAUUAGAAAUAAGGCCAAGAUUUCACCCAUAGUUUUUUUUAAAUGGAAGUUUAGAUUCUGCAGCACAAUUCUGUGGAAAGGGGUGAAUUCCUCAGCCAUGGUAUCACAGAAUGCUCAGGGCUCUGCAUAUAACAUGUUACUGAAUUAAAAAAAUACUCCUCACUAUCACAGUGAUUGGUCUCAAAUUUAUAGGAGCCAAACUGCUUUAAACCCAGGACUCUGGAUUUGUUGGGAUUGUGAAAGUGGGCACACAUUUUAUCUGCUUCAUUGCUCACUCACAGGAGAGAUGGCAGGGGAUAGAAAACUUGGAUAACUUUGGACUCUGAUCUCUGUAGAACAUAGGAUUCUUGUCAGUUUAAUUUUUUUGUCUGCUCACAAGAAUAGAGCCAGCAGACGAACAGAUAGAUAGUAUGGUAUCUGUGAUUCCAACAGAAUUGUGUUUAUAUUAUGAAUGUAUUUAUAUUUGCUUCUAGUUUAUGAACUGGUUUCUUAAGUCUUGUAGCUUUUGUUUUUGAGAACUAGUUCUCUAUUACUAGUUACUUCUGUAUCUGUGUGCAUGUUUAAAAAGAGGAGACACCUUUCCCUCUGCAAGUUUCUAGGAGUGUCAAAUUUGAAGGCUAGACUCAUGAUGGCUAUUGACAGUGUCCCUUGUCCAUUACAAACCUGUUUUUAAAGAGGUUGUAGUUUAUAUAUAUAUGAACAUGAUCACUGUUGAUGUUUCCCUGCAUGGACUCAACCUAGAAGUGUUCUUUAAAAAAAAACCCUGAAUGUAAGUUCUGUGUGAACAGGGAAUGAGAUAUGUUUAUUUGUUUAAAAUGACUUUUUGCACUUCUUGUAUCUUAAACAUCUUUGAUUUAAAAGCUUAAUUUUAGCAAAUAAUCAACAAUACUUUGUUUUCAUAAGAAUUUUUGUUUAAAAGGCCAACAAAUUUAACUUUAAAAAGUGGCUGGUCCUAAACUGAUUUUCAUGACAAUUUUUUAUUACAUAUUUUCUAAGGCCCUGAUCUUGGAAGCUGCUUGAUACUGUCCCCUGCGCCAGCAUGCAGCCCAUUGACUUCUUUGGGACUCCGGACUGGCUCAGGGAUCUGCCUGCAUAGUUCAGCUUCCAGGCUCAGAAUCUAAAUAGGUGUGUGAAGGAGCUUUCAUUAUUGUAAUUUCUACAUAAGCCCAGAUCCUGCAGUUGACUCUGUGUGGGUGGCACUCUAUUGAAGUCAAUGAGACUCCACACUGGGGAUGGGUUCUACUUGUGAAAAAUCAGUUGCAUGGUCGGGAUCCUAGUUUGACGCCUCAGGGUGCGUUCCGGAGCCUGCUUACCAGAUAAUGUAAGUCCUGUUUUUUCCCCCCAGAUUUGU